AUUGAACGCUGGCGGCAGGCUUAACACAUGCAAGUCGAGCGGGGGAAGGUAGCUUGCUACCGGACCUAGCGGCGGACGGGUGAGUAAUGCUUAGGAAUCUGCCUAUUAGUGGGGGACAACAUCUCGAAAGGGAUGCUAAUACCGCAUACGUCCUACGGGAGAAAGCAGGGGAUCUUCGGACCUUGCGCUAAUAGAUGAGCCUAAGUCGGAUUAGCUAGUUGGUGGGGUAAAGGCCUACCAAGGCGACGAUCUGUAGCGGGUCUGAGAGGAUGAUACGCACCAGUGGGACUGCGACACGGCCCAGACGCCGACGGGAGGCAGCAGUGGGGAAUAUUGGACAAUGGGGGUAACCCUGAUCAAGCCAUGCCGUUUGUGUGAAGAAGGCCUUAUGGUUGUAAAGCACUUUAAGCGAGGAGGACGCUACUUUAGUUAAUACCUAGAGAUAGUGGACGUUACUCGCAGAAUAAGCACCGGCUAACUCUGUGCCAGCCGCCGCGGUAA
rnacentral:rRNA from 1 species